rnacentral:rRNA from 1 species
UACGGAGGGUGCGAGCGUUGUCCGGAAUCAUUGGACGUAAAGGGCGCGUAGGUGGCUCGUUAAGCGUGCGGUGAAAGCUCGGGGCUCAACCCCGGGUCGGCCGUGCGAACUGGGGAGCUGGAGCACUGUAGAGGCAGGCGGAAUUCCGGGUGUAGCGAUGGAAUGCGUAGAGAUCCGGAAGAACACCGGUGGCGAAGGCGGCCUGCUGGGCAGUGGGGAGACCCGUAAAGCUGGACACUGAGGCGCGACAGCGUGGGGAGCAAACAGG